CCUCAGGGGUGACCCAGAUCCCCAGAGAGCUCUGCCCCCCUGUGCUUUAGAGCUGUGUAUGUAGAGGUUUGGCUGGGCCUUUAACCACCUGCUGGGGAAGCCAAGCUGAGCAGAAAAAAAAAAACGGUUCGGAGAGGCUCUCACUCUGGCGACUCUGGACAGUUUUGAGCCUGCUGCCUCCGGUGACGGGAGGCUCAUGACACCACCAGGAGUCAGAUGCACCAGAGCAGGGAAAGCCUGUACCCAGCUGUCCUGUGGAGCCUGUGCCAGCUCUGUGAGGGGACAGAAGGAAGUGGGCCUCCAAAGUCUGUGACAUCCUGACAAACGCCCCAUCGAUCAAGUCAUCAAGGCCGCAGCCAUGCCCUGGCUACUAUUGCUGGGGCUCUCCCCUGGAGAAACUUAUAAGCCCAUGCUGCAAAAAAAGGGACCAGGCUGAGGUAGUCCAGGAUACAGUUUAUUGGGUCAGUGGGCACUGGAUCCCCCCACCCCACCUCCUUUCCUUUUGCCCUCUUCCAACCUUACCUUCUCACCAGUCUCCUACUCUCCUUCCUCAUGUAUUCAGAGCUGCAGAAAACCAAAAAAAGAAGAAAGAAAAAAACAUGUUGGUAAAGGCAAAGAGGCAGAUGGGUUGGCAUGUGGGAAGAGAACUGCUUCUUUGUCUUGCCCACAGAGUGGGGGUGCCUUCCUUGUGGGCUUCUGCCUGGUGUGUGGGUACAAUUUGCUGAACCCUGGGCAUAUGACAUGUUCCUCCCACCCCUGGCAUCCCUGGAGGACCCUAUUUAGGCCAUCUCUCGGCCGUGGACAGAAAGCUGUUGGCCUGACUGCUGGACCUGGCUCUCCUGGGCCGAUGUAAUACAGAGGGUGAGCUUGGGAAGGACUCCCAGACCUAUAUGAACUGCUAAGGAAAAACUAUCAUUUGGAAAAUAAGACUGUCAUUGGCCUGCAGGGAGAGGCCUCUUGUUUCAGAAGGCUGCAAUGAGGUGAUGGUCACAGUUUGAGUUUGAUAUCAAUAGUCAAGUCUCAUUUUUCUCUGAAGACACCCAGAGCAUAUUGGAUCUGCCAAGAGUAUUGACUUGGAGAAGCUGAAUAAGCAACUGAAUUGCCAUGCUAACACUGAUGUUUCUAGCUGUUUCCUCUGAAUCUCCCUACAGCUUUCUCCUCCUCAAGCAUCCUCUUACAAACGUCACUCCACAGCAUUCCAUUCUAGGCCCCUUGCUCCUCUCUUUUGAAACACACUCCCUGAACCACCUUAUCCAUUUCUCUGGCUUCCAUCUAUAUGCUAAGGCUGUAUGCCUCAUGGCUGUGAUUCACAUGGCUCUCUCCUCAUCUCCUGACCCUCAUAUCCAACUGCUGACUGGAUGCCUUUUGAAGAGCAUGCUCAAAAUCAAACAUCUCAAAACCUGCUUUUCCUCCCAGACUCUCAGGGUUACCAACUACCUAGGUACUCAAGCCACACAGCUGGGCCUCACUCUUGAUUCUUGCCCCUGUGCCCUCAUCCCAACCAUCAGAAUCUUCGCAAUUAAAUGCCCUAAAUAUUGAUAAGUUCUGUUUCUCUUCAUCCCCAUUGGCACCACUCAGUUUCCAGACAUGUUGACCUCUCUCCUAAACACUAAAACUGCCCCCUCACAGGCUCCCUGUCUCUGGUCUUGCCCUUCUUCCAGCCAGUCUCCAAGGUGCAAAGUGAUUUCUAAAAACAGACCCAUCACUACAGUCUGUUUCUUAGGGAAAAUUCCAGCCCCCUCAACCUGGCUCACAAAAGCUUUUAAGUGGGUUCCUCUCUCCAGCCCCACUUCUGCCACCUAACUUCUCAGUCUGCACGGGACCUCACUGAACCAUCCUUGGGGCUUGCUUGCCCCUCUGUGGUACACUCCUCAUCUUGCCUUGCUAAUGCCUGGUUACUCGAUAGGCUUCAACCUAAACAUCACAAAUUUCCUCAGGAAGCUUCCCUUCCACUGUGCUCCUAUCAUAGGAGCAUGCGUUUCCCCUAGUACAGUUUUAGGGGAAUCACACCUCAUUGCAAUCACUGUUUACACCUCCAAUAUAUACAUCUGUAAGUAUUUGCUGACUAGUCAGCUAGGUAACGCAUACCACCCAAGUCUGGGAAAGAUGAUUGUUGCCUUCCGUGUAGAGCUUGGUCCAAGUUUUUUGUUUUGUUUUUAAACAGCUUUAUUGAGAUUU
ensembl:lncRNA